rnacentral:rRNA from 1 species
UACAGAGGUCUCAAGCGUUGUUCGGAUUCAUUGGGCGUAAAGGGUGCGUAGGCGGCGCGGUAAGUCGGGUGUGAAAUCUCGGGGCUUAACUCCGAAACUGCAUUCGAUACUGCCGUGCUUGAGGACUGGAGAGGAGACUGGAAUUUACGGUGUAGCGGUGAAAUGCGUAGAUAUCGUAAGGAAGACCAGUGGCGAAGGCGGGUCUCUGGACAGUUCCUGACGCUGAGGCA